CCUUGUGAUGCAGUAUAUAUAUACAGUCCUCGCUCAAUCUCUUAGUUAUUUACGACGUGAACAAUAAACGAGCUAUUUUUUAGGUUAUCAGCUGCCCUUAUAGACUGUGUUAAAUAGAGACAGUUCAAAGGUUGACAACCUAAAAACGUACGCAUAUCUAUCAGCAAGAGUGAUUCCUGUCUAUUAACUUCAUUGGUGUUAGCGCACAGCAGUUGAUACCAUCAUCAUCAUACCUUACUGGUUUGGAGGUCGUACAAAUCCGUGGAAAUCCAAUAUUUUAACAGAUAAUGGCAGAUAACGACUUGAAGAUCGUCGAUGUAAAACGUACCCGUGCAGACUACAUCAAAGAACAGGUUUCAUACCAUACAAAACUGGGAAUUGACGAUCCUCUGCUUAUCGUUGAUAUUGACAAAGUUGUGGAGAGGUACAGAAAAUGGUACAAUCUGUUUCCUAGGGUGGAGCUAUUUUACGCCUUAAAGUGCAACAGUAAUGAGAAGAUCAUUGACGUCCUUGUAAAACUGGGGAGCAGUUUUGACUGUGCGAGCAAGUCUGAGAUACAGCAGGUGUUAGAGCUCGGGAUCGAUCCGUCUCGCAUCAUCUACGCCAAUCCCUGUAAACAAAACUCACAUCUUACUUACGCCAAGGAGCACAAUGUAGAUCUGAUGACAUUUGACAGUGAGGAGGAAUUGAUCAAGAUAAAGAUGUUGUAUGGAUCAGCAAGAUUAGUGUUGCGAUUUCGAACAAAACAUUCUUUUAAAGUAACGUAUGACCUAGGACAGAAGUUUGGAUGUCUCUUCGAAGAAGCAAAGGAUUUAUUUAUAUCUGCAAAGACCAAAGGCUUGGACAUCGUUGGUGUGUGUUUUCAUGUUGGAAGUAACUGUCGAAAUGCCAACGCAUAUUCCUCGUCGAUCAAAGAAGCACGGAUGAUAUUUGACGUAGGACUACAGGUCGGCUUUGAUAUGAAAAUUCUUGACAUUGGAGGUGGAUACAGAGGCAGAGAUGUUGAUCAUCCGACUAUAGAAGAGAAUGCCGAAGUAAUAAACCAGUGUCUAGAUGAAUAUUUCCCUGAAACAGACGGAGUGACAAUAAUCGCUGAGCCAGGACGUUACCUUGUAGAAACUGCUGUCAGUGCUGCAGCCAGUAUCAUAGGUCGGAAGUUUGUCUAUGAUAAUGACAGAACCAGUCUUGAACAUGUUAUGUAUAACGUGAACAAUGGAGUAUAUGGAACGUUUCAUUGGGCAAAAGGCAGAGAUGCAAUUUUAAUUACACCCGUUCUUGGAAAGGCACAAUCCGAAAACCAUACGAGUACUGUGUGGGGUCCGACAUGUUGCGCUACUGAUUGCGUGGCCAUUGACAUCCCUCUACCACUGAUGGAGGUUGGAGAGUGGGUGCAUGUUCAUUACACUGGAGCCUACUCGUUAUCCUUCACUACAUCAUUCAACAGCAUGCCAAGCCCAAAGCUGUAUUACUUCUGUUCACGUGACACUUGGGAAUCCUUACAACAGUUGAAGGAUCAUUGACGAUCAGCUAGAUCGUGACAUAUCAGAUUAUAUCAGUAAAACUGGUACAUAUAACCGGAUACCACAAUACGGCUUGAUGUUUUGCUGGACCGAAAGGGUGGAGUUGUUUUACCGUGGGGUACACUUGACCAAUGGAUAGCAAUGGUGCUUGCGGGUUUUCUGGGACGACAUUUGCACCAUUUACAGGGCCCUUCGCGUUUAUUUCAAAAGGACAACAUCGUGAACUAACAAUGUACACAAAAUGUUGGACAAACUAUUGCACAAAUUUACUGUACCCUAUUGCGACUAUGUUUUAAUAUUUGAGAAAAUUAUCUUCUUUCUUUUUCGUUGAUUAAUAGAAUGAACAUAAUUGAUAUAAAGGUAAUACAUUGAAUUCAUCAAUUCAUGAAUAUGUUUAUCAACAUGUAAGUUUCAUCAAGAUUCGGCUUCAGUUUAUUGUACACUCAUACGGGGUCUGAGUUGACCAAUGUAAAAUUCACCACAUUCAAAAUAAAUUAUAGCAUCAAUUAUGUUUUUUAUUUACAUUUCAUCUUAGUGUUCAAAGUAACAUUCCACACCAUUCUUAAAGAU
rnacentral:misc_RNA from 1 species